AUGAGUAACAUCAAUUGUGCGAUCAUGUCCUGGAAUGUCCGGGGGCUGAACUCAGCGGCAAGGCGGGAAACAGUUAGAGAGGUAGGAGCGGCACAGCGACUCUCCAUCCUCUGCCUCCAGGAAACAAAAAUAGAAACAUGGUCUCAAACCAUGGUUAGGGACAUUGGCGGUAGCUACUUCAAAGAUUGCAUAGUACUACCGGCGAUUGGCUCCAGGGGCGGAGUUGCAAUCUUCUGGAACCGUGAUCUUGUGUACGUCUGCUACCAGGCAGUUGGUCAAUUCUCCAUCACAGCCACUGUCACUCUAUUAGCUCGGCAACUAGUUUCGUCCUCACAUCAGUAUACGGCCCCUCCGACGGCACCAACAGAGACGCCUUCUUCGCUGAAUUAG
rnacentral:rRNA from 1 species